ACCCUAUUAUACUAAAAUAAAUUAAGGUAGUAAUUUACAAACUUAUUUAUCUUGACGGCAUUUCAUUUAAUUAGAGGAACCUGUCCUUUAAUCGACAAUCCACGUUAAAUUUCACUUUUAUUAUAAAAUUUAUAUAUCACCAUCUAGAAUCGAAUUUNAAUUAUAUUAUUCUAAAUAAUUUUU
rnacentral:rRNA from 1 species